UGAGAGUUUAGCCAUUAAGAGGAACAGGUGAGAGUUUAGCCAUUAGAAGAACAGGUGAGAGUUUAGCCAUUAAGAAGAACAGGUGAGAGUUUAGCCAUUAGAAGAACAGGUGAGAGUUUAGCCAUUAGAAGAACAGGUGAGAGUUUAGCCAUUAAGAAGAACAGGUGAGAGUUUAGCCAUUAAGAAGAACAGGUGAGAGUUUAGCCAUUAGAGGAACAGGUGAGAGUUUAGCCAUUAGAAGAACAGGUGAGAGUUUAGCCAUUAGAAGAACAGGUGAGAGUUUAGCCAUUAAGAAGAACAGGUGAGAGUUUAGCCAUUAAGAAGAACAGGUGAGAGUUUAGCCAUUAAGAAGAACAGGUGAGAGUUUAGCCAUUAGAAGAACAGGUGAGAGUUUAGCCAUUAGAAGAACAGGUGAGAGUUUAGCCAUUAGAAGAACAGGUGAGAGUUUAGCCAUUAAGAAGAACAGGUGAGAGUUUAGCCAUUAAGAAGAACAGGUGAGAGUUUAGCCAUUAGAAGAACAGGUGAGAGUUUAGCCAUUAGAAGAACAGGUGAGAGUUUAGCCAUUAAGAAGAACAGGUGAGAGUUUAGCCAUUAAGAAGAACAGGUGAGAGUUUAGCCAUUAAGAAGAACAGGUGAGAGUUUAGCCAUUAGAAGAACAGGUGAGAGUUUAGCCAUUAAGAAGAACAGGUGAGAGUUUAGCCAUUAAGAAGAACAGGUGAGAGUUUAACCAUUAAGAAGAACAGGUGAGAGUUUAGCCAUUAGAAGAACAGGUGAGAGUUUAGCCAUUAGAAGAACAGGUGAGAGUUUAGCCAUUAGAAGAACAGGUGAGAGUUUAGCCAUUAAGAAGAACAGGUGAGAGUUUAGCCAUUAGAAGAACAGGUGAGAGUUUAGCCAUUAGAAGAACAGGUGAGAGUUUAGCCAUUAAGAAGAACAGGUGAGAGUUUAGCCAUUAGAAGAACAGGUGAGAGUUUAGCCAUUAGAAGAACAGGUGAGAGUUUAGCCAUUAGAAGAACAGGUGAGAGUUUAGCCAUUAAGAAGAACAGGUGAGAGUUUAGCCAUUAGAAGAACAGGUGAGAGUUUAGCCAUUAGAAGAACAGGUGAGAGUUUAGCCAUUAGAAGAACAGGUGAGAGUUUAGCCAUUAGAAGAACAGGUGAGAGUUUAGCCAUUAGAAGAACAGGUGAGAGUUUAGCCAUUAGAAGAACAGGUGAGAGUUUAGCCAUUAGAAGAACAGGUGAGAGUUUAGCCAUUAAGAAGAACAGGUGAGAGUUUAGCCAUUAGAAGAACAGGUGAGAGUUUAGCCAUUAAGAAGAACAGGUGAGAGUUUAACCAUUAGAAGAACAGGUGAGAGUUUAGCCAUUAGAAGAACAGGUGAGAGUUUAGCCAUUAAGAAGAACAGGUGAGAGUUUAGCCAUUAGAAGAACAGGUGAGAGUUUAGCCAUUAGAAGAACAGGUGAGAGUUUAGCCAUUAAGAAGAACAGGUGAGAGUUUAGCCAUUAGAAGAACAGGUGAGAGUUUAGCCAUUAGAAGAACAGGUGAGAGUUUAGCCAUUAAGAAGAACAGGUGAGAGUUUAGCCAUUAGAAGAACAGGUGAGAGUUUAGCCAUUAGAAGAACAGGUGAGAGUUUAGCCAUUAAGAAGAACAGGUGAGAGUUUAGCCAUUAGAAGAACAGGUGAGAGUUUAGCCAUUAGAAGAACAGGUGAGAGUUUAGCCAUUAAGAAGAACAGGUGAGAGUUUAGCCAUUAGAAGAACAGGUGAGAGUUUAGCCAUUAAGAAGAACAGGUGAGAGUUUAGCCAUUAGAAGAACAGGUGAGAGUUUAGCCAUUAGAAGAACAGGUGAGAGUUUAGCCAUUAGAAGAACAGGUGAGAGUUUAGCCAUUAGAAGAACAGGUGAGAGU